rnacentral:tRNA from 1 species
GCGGGCGUAGCUCAGAGGUAGAGCGCCUGCUUCCCAAGCAGGAGGUCGCGGGUUCGAGUCCCGUCGCCCGCUCCA